GUGAGCUGGGUUUAGACCGUCGUGAGACAGGUCGGCUGCUAUCUAUUGGGGGUGUCAAGGUACUUGACGUGAACGAACGUAUAGUACGAGAGGAACUACGUUUGGUCGCCACUGGUGUACCGGUUGUUCGCAAGAGCACUGCCGGGUAGCCACGCGACACGGGGUAAGAGCUGAACGCAUCUAAGCUCGAAACCCACAUGGAAAAGAAGUACCACAGAGGUCACUCGUAGAAGACGAGUUCGAUAGACUCGGGAUGUGCGCGCCGAGGCAACGAGGCGUUAAGUCCACGAGCACUAACAGACCGAAGCC
rnacentral:rRNA from 1 species